rnacentral:tRNA from 1 species
GUGGUUGUAGCUCAGUGGUAGAGUGUUUGCCUCAAAUAUGUGAGACACUGAGCUCGAUCCUCAGCACCACA